UAAACAAACUCACCCAACGCAAUCAGAUGUAUCCACUAGUUGCCGUUUUAUUAAUCUGCUCGCUCUAUCAGUAGCACUAGAUUGUUUUUCCCACCAAACGGUGCAGAUGAAAAGUUCGCCCGCACACGCAAAAAUAUCUUCAAAGCACUGCCCACAGGCGUAGUUUGCAAGUGUAAUUAAAUUGCACACACUUUUCACCGAGCCUUCCCGGUCGGGCGCGCGUCAUCCGCGUUUGUGCGUCGCCAGAUAAAGAUCGGCAGGAUUGAAAAGCGCGUCGUUGGGUAAGGAAAAACACAAAAGUUAAGCUGGUGCGGUGCUGUUGUUGUUGUUGUUUUCCUUCUAUUUGUAGCGAACCGUCCGGAUCGGGCGGAUGGCGUGUGGUGAAGGAUCUUCUGAAGCUUCUUCAGACACGACGGCACCUGGCUACCGGGUGCUGUGCUGGUGUGGAAAAACUCCCUUCUCCUGCCCCGGUUUUUUUUUUGGGCCUGGCAUUAUCUUGCUGCCCCAAGAAAUGGGAAGGAGAAAAAGUUUUGAAAAACAACGCACCAGGGAAAAAACGACGGAAAAAAGGCACAAAGCUUCACCGCGGAAAGUUUUCCACGCCGCAGAAAAACAAAAUUACAACAAAGCGCUGCUGCUGUUUUGCUCCAACCGGUCCCACCCACCGCAACCAACGGGGGGAGGUGCAACAGUCGACCGGACAUCGGUGGCUGUCAGGCUGUGGAAAAUGGGAAUGGAAAAUCGCAAAUACGACGAACAUGAAAUGAAGUUUAGCUCUGUUUUUGUUGUUUUGUCCGCAGCGUCCUGGAAAGUGGGGUGUAAAUCCCUCCAUCCCAUUCCCCCCCUAUCGCCUUGCCUCGGUAGGGCUAUGGCGGAAAGCUUCUUUCUUCCCACGGCGCAGCUCCCGUACAGGGGGGGGGGACAGGGAGGCGGUCCCGGGAGUCAUUUCGGGGUGAGUAGAGUUUUUCUUCUAUUCGUCUGUUGUUUUGAUUAAGUUUGUAAGGAAAAUUACUUUUGGAACAAUGGUUUUAAUUAUAAUUGCGGGAGGAUGAUCCAAUUUCCUUACGCCAAAUCCACCACCACCACCACCACCCGGUUGUCUUCCGGCCCCCUUGGUUGCGCAUGGCGUUUUUUCCGAGCUGAAGCUGCUGGGUACCUGGGAGCGGUUUCGCUUUCGUUUGCGUCAUUGGACGGUUCCCCGUAAUAAGUCAAGUGUUUGCCAAGAGGGGGAGGCGAAAUCGACAGGGAGCGAGGAUAAGUCCAUUUGCAAACGAAACUAAAGAAAUUGGACUGUGACGGGCGGGAAAACAAGCGCAUCAUCCUUUUUAUUUUUAUUUUUUUGCUAAUCGUCGUGGGAUUGUAAUUCCAUUUUCCAACCAACCGAAUCCGUUUCCUUUUACCUUCGACUCGCACUCGGUCCAUUCAGGCACAUACCAUUCAGCUUUUAGAAGCUGCAAGAAACAGGCGAUUGUGUAAACAUGCGUUAUAAAUAUUCAUAACCGGUGUGUGCGUGCGUGAAAACGAUGCCGUAGAUAGUUUGCAGAAAAUCACUUCACUCUGCACGGACCGUUGAUCCGGUGGUUGGAGUUGGUUUUUAUUUGGUUAAUCCCUUUUUUCCAGUGUGUGGCGAAUGCGAUUUCUUACCGAAGGGUCAGAUUUGGAAUGGAAUGGAAUGUGUGAAAAGGAAAGGCGAAAGAGUGAAGAUUGAACAAAAUCGAUUUUCGGGAUUUCCUGUCGCGAUGCGGUCCGUUGCCGAAGCUGUGAAUUGGAUUUUGAUUGGGUGAUAUUUAUUUAUGGAUUUGUAGAAAGGGAAUGUUUUAGUGCAGUAUUUUUGUAUUUACAUUUGUUUUGUACAGAAAGUAUGUAUUUUAUCUCGCAUUGUGUCCGGCAAGGGCAAAACUGUGGUAAAACAUUUCUAUCUCGGCCAACCAUCACAAAUUCCAUUGAUAUAGACAUCUUUGGCUGCUUUAUGUAGCAGAAACUUACUAAACGAUCGGACAAGCAGCCCAAGACUUCGGAUUAAAGAUGAGUCGAUAACCAAAGUCGUGGUGACAGCACCAGACUUCCCUGCGAGCAGCCAUUGACUACGGCAGCAGUGAUGUACUGGCAGAACUUGGAUAAAAAUGCUCAGAAAAUUAGCUUGGAAGAAUAAAGAAAGAGUGGGUUAGUUAGUGUCUUGAGAAUGACACUGGACGAUCUACCCAGCACCAUCACCACAUCUUCACAGACGACUCCGUUAAUUGGGAGUCAGCCAGCUGUGGGAUCCAUUCCAGCCUCGACAACUGCGCCAUCAAGCUUCCUAAUCAAGCUAGCCAUCCGACUGGCUGCCGACGAAGUACUUCGGACCGAUAUUCCGAAUGUCAUCUUCACCGACAGUGCCAGUGUUCUGACCGCUCUCGAACACGGCUUCUCUAAAGACCCUCACAUCCAGCUCCUUGACGACAUCCCCUCAUCACUUGCAAUAGUUUUCUGUAGGAUCAUACCGGUAUCGACGGAAACGAAAAAGCCGACCAGCUGGCCAACGAUGGUCGGCUCCGUCCAACCGAACCACACAGCACUCUUUCGCGCCGAGACGCCAUCCGCAUCACUAACGCAAUAGUCGCUCAACACUGGAACCCUACCUGGCACAACCAAGACCUCUCCACAAAACAUCGCUCUAUCAAGUACAACACCGCACACUAUCUCGAUUCCAGUCACAUCCAACGAGUCCUUUCCCGCCUUCGCAUUGAUUACACCCGCCUGACACACUCCUACCUUCUCGAAAUACAUCCUCCCGAUUGUCAUGGAUACACUACACACCGAGCCACCUGCCUACUUGAUACCAACUUAGCCAACCUGACAAACAACAGCGGAACCGCCUCAUUCGAUUUCUACACAUCAGCAACCUGUACCGAGAGCUAUAAAUUCAUAGCGCAAUACUAUUUACAUUACACGGACCAUAAUAGUUAAGCUAUACACACAAUAGUUGUACCACACACGUAACAAUAGACAGGAAAGAGGCGAAUAAGGUCUCAAAGACCCAAAGCUACUAUAAAUAAACGACGAUCCACCCCUUAACGUCCUGUUCGAUCGUCCUCAGAAGACAGAAGACACAAGCUAAGACCUAAUUGAUACAUAGCACUUCUGCAGUCGUUCAAGACUGUUAAGUUGUUGUGCCUGACAAGUGUCCUUCAUGAUUCCAGUUCCCAAAAAAAA